CUAACAAGGAUUCCCCUAGUAACGGCGAGUGAAGCGGGAUGAGCUCAAAUUUGUAAUCUGGUGGACUCAGUUCAUCCGAAUUGUAAUCUAUAGAAAAGUUUUCCGCGCUGGACCGUGUCUAAGUCCCUUGGAACAGGGUGUCAGAGAGGGUGAGAAUCCCGUGCUUGAUACGACCACCAGUGCUAUGUGAUACUUUUUCAACGAGUCGAGUUGUUUGGGAAUGCAGCUCAAAAUGGGUGGUAAAUUCCAUCUAAAGCUAAAUAUUGGCGAGAGACCGAUAGCGAACAAGUACCGUGAGGGAAAGAUGAAAAGCACUUUGGAAAGAGAGUUAAACAGUACGUGAAAUUGUUAAAAGGGAAACGAUUGAAGUCAGUCGUGCUCUCUAGGACUCAGCCAGUUCUUCUGGUGUAUUUCCUAGUGAGCGGGUCAACAUCAGUUUAGAUCGCUGGAUAAGGUCAUUAGGAAUGUGGCUCCCUCGGGAGUGUUAUAGCCUAGUGUCGCAUACAGUGGUUUAGACUGAGGAACGCAGCUCGCCUUUAUGGCCGGGGUUCGCCCACGUCCGAGCUUAGGAUGUUGACAUAAUGGCUUUAAACGACCCGUCUU
rnacentral:rRNA from 1 species